rnacentral:rRNA from 1 species
UACGUAGGGGGCUAGCGUUGUCCGGAAUCAUUGGGCGUAAAGCGCGCGUAGGCGGCCAGAUAAGUCCGGUGUGAAAGUCAAAGGCUCAACCUUUGAAUGCCGCUGGAAACUGUCUGGCUUGAGUCCGGAAGGGGCGAGUGGAAUUCCUGGUGUAGCGGUGAAAUGCGCAGAUAUCAGGAGGAACACCGGUGGCGAAGGCAGCUGCACUGGGACGGUAUUGACGCUGAGAACGCGAAAGCGUGGAGAGCAAACAGG